rfam:Ailuropoda melanoleuca scaffold1326_50, whole genome shotgun sequence.
GCCUGGGUGGCUCAGUCGGUUAAGCGUCUGCCUUCGGCUCAGGGCGUGAUCCCGGCAUUGUGGGAUCGAGCCCCACAUCAGGCU